rnacentral:rRNA from 1 species
AUGAAGUCCUCCAGGGCAGCAGCGACCAUCGUCGUCCUAGCCUUGGCCUUCGCCGUCCAUUCCUCACCGGCCGCCGCCAAGGGUCUCUCGCCGGAUUUCUACGCAAUGUCGUGCCCACAACUGGGGCAGAUUGUGAGGUCCCACGUAGCCAAGGCCUUCCGCCGCGACCCCGGCGUCGCACCGGCCCUCGUCCGCAUCUUCUUCCACGACUGCUUCCCACAGGGCUGCGACGCGUCGGUACUCCUUACGGGGAACAACAGUGAGCAGGCGUUGGGGCCCAACCUGACGCUCCGGCCGAUGGCGCUCAAGCUCAUCGACGAUAUCCACGCCGGCGUCGAAGCCACCUGCCCCCGGACUGUCUCCUGUGCCGAUGUCACCGUCCUCGCCACCAGGGACGCCCUCCUGCAGGCUGGAGGGCCCUACAUCGACUUUCCCUUGGGCCGUCGCGACGGGCUUACCCCGGCGUCGGCGGACCUCGUCUUGGCUCUACCAGCGCCAUCCUUUGAUGUGCCCACCCUCAUCAGCUCCUUCGGCAACCGGAGCCUUGGUGUGGCCGACCUGGUGGCGCUCUCCGGCGCGCACACCUUUGGUGUCGCCCAUUGCCCCUCCUUCUCCGACCGCUUCAUGCCGAUCAUCGACGCCAACCCGGCCAUCGGCCCCAAGUUCGCCAAGAUGUUGCAGGCCAAGUGCGCCAAGGACAUCCCGGAGGGCACCGUAACCCAAGCACUCGAUGGGCUCACGCCAAAGGUGUUUGACAACUUGUACUACACGGACCUCAUCACCAGGCGUGGGCUGCUCAAGUCCGACCAGGGCCUCAUCGACCACCCAGACACGAAAGGCAUGGCCACACAGUUCGCACUCAACCAGCUCGUCUUCUUCAAUGAGUUUGCUCACUCCAUGGUGAAGAUGAGCUAUAUGGACGUGCUCACCGGCAGCCAGGGCGAGAUACGGCGGAACUGCGCCGUACCCAACACGCGUGCCGAGGGCAUCGAGACCGCUGGCGACGAGGGCCACGCUGCCAACAUGUAA